rnacentral:misc_RNA from 1 species
AUACCAACAGCUGCUUCGAUUGUUUCUCUUUUGAUAUCCUCUUAGGAAUCAUAUCCUCUUGGGAAUAAAUUUCUGCCAAAAGAUUCAUCACACUGCUAGUGGAUGGACUUAGAUCAUCUAAAUCAAGUAAUAUAUCCCAAAGUAGCAUAAUAAUGGAAUGCAAUGUCCGACCCUUCAGAGAAACAAUCGAAGCAGCUGUUGGUAU